AUCGUUUUGAUCCUAGUUUCAGAUCAGAAUGGAUGGAUGGGGAUGUUCAUAAGGUUGAGCUGCUAGAAAUGUAGCAUAAUGGUAAUGCUGAAGUUCGUUCAAGAUCCUUACAAAAAAUGAUGAACUUGAAUCAGUGGUGUUUCCAGUGGCAGAUGGGUGAGUAACGCGUAAGAACCUGCCCUUGGGAGGGGAACAACAGCUGGAAACGACUGCUAAUACCCCAUAGGUUGAGGAGAAAAAGGAGGAAUCCGCACAAGGAGGGGAUUGCAUCUGAUUAGUUAGUUGGUGAGGCAAUGGCUUACCAAGGCGACGAUCAGUAACUGGUCUGAGAGGAUGAUCAACCACACUGGGAUUGAGACACGGCCCAAAAUCCUACGAGAGGCAACAAUGGGGAAUUUUUCGCAAUGGGAAAAAUCCUGACAGAGCAAUGCUGCAUAUUUUUUUUUCUGUCGAG
rnacentral:ncRNA from 1 species